GCCCCACGUGGCGUCCAUCUGGGGGGGCU
rnacentral:sRNA from 1 species